rnacentral:misc_RNA from 1 species
GAGUGCUUGUGCUGCUACCAGUUACACUGGAAGUUGCAUUGCUAACGGGUUUUGCCGUGCAUGCCCUUGGGGCAUGUCAUGUCAACGAUAAAGCAUUCAUGGCGUUGCGCCUCGUGUAGCAAGCCGCUAUGGCUAGCGGCAUCAAGGCCACCUCAUGGUUGCUAUUGGUCUCGGAUGUAGCUAACUUCAAAGGCUGAAGGUGUUUCUGCACCUCAUGCCUACAAGUCCGAUUUGAAACAACGACAGUUUGCCUAGCUGAUGCCCCGUGCGGAAGCUAGUGCU